rnacentral:rRNA from 1 species
GAUGAACGCUGGCGGCGUGCCUAAUACAUGCAAGUCGAGCGAACGGAUGAGGAGCUUGCUUCUCUGACGUUAGCGGCGGACGGGUGAGUAACACGUGGAUAACCUACCUAUAAGACUGGGAUAACUUCGGGAAACCGGAGCUAAUACCGGAUAAUAUAUUGAACCGCAUGGUUCAAUAGUGAAAGACGGUUUUGCUGUCACUUAUAGAUGGAUCCGCGCUGCAUUAGCUAGUUGGUAAGGUAACGGCUUACCAAGGCAACGAUGCAUAGCCGACCUGAGAGGGUGAUCGGCCACACUGGAACUGAGACACGGUCCAGACUCCUACGGGAGGCAGCAGUAGGGAAUCUUCCGCAAUGGGCGAAAGCCUGACGGAGCAACGCCGCGUGAGUGAUGAAGGUCUUCGGAUCGUAAAACUCUGUUAUUAGGGAAGAACAUAUGUGUAAGUAACUAUGCACGUCUUGACGGUACCUAAUCAGAAAGCCACGGCUAACUACGUG